rnacentral:rRNA from 1 species
AUUGAACGCUGGCGGCAGGCCUAACACAUGCAAGUCGAGCGGAUGAAGGGAGCUUGCUCCUGGAUUCAGCGGCGGACGGGUGAGUAAUGCCUAGGAAUCUGCCUGGGAGUGGGGGAUAACGUCCGGAAACGGGCGCUAAUACCGCAUACGUCCUGAGGGAGUAAGUGGGUGUUCUUCGUACCUCACGCUAUCAGAUGAGCCUAGGUCGGAUUAUCUAGUUGGUGGGGUAAAGGCCUACCAAGGCGACGAUCCGUAACUGGUCUGAGAGGAUGAUCUGUCACACUGGAAUUGAGACACGGUCCAGACUCCUACGGGAGGCAGCGGUGGGGAAUAUUGGACAAUGGGCGAAAGCCUGAUCCAGCCAUGCCGCGUGUGUGAAGAAGGUCUUCGGAUUGUAAAGCACUUUAAGUUGGGAGGAAGGGCAGUAAGUUAAUACCUUGCUGUUUUGACGGUACCAACAGAAUAAGCACCGGCUAACUUCGUG